GAUGAACGCUGGCGGCGUGCCUAAUACAUGCAAGUCGAGCGAACAGACGAGGAGCUUGCUCCUCUGACGUUAGCGGCGGACGGGUGAGUAACACGUGGAUAACCUACCUAUAAGACUGGGAUAACUUCGGGAAACCGGAGCUAAUACCGGAUAAUAUAUUGAACCGCAUGGUUCAAUAGUGAAAGACGGUUUUGCUGUCACUUAUAGAUGGAUCCGCGCCGCAUUAGCUAGUUGGUAAGGUAACGGCUUACCAAGGCAACGAUGCGUAGCCGACCUGAGAGGGUGAUCGGCCACACUGGAACUGAGACACGGUCCAGACUCCUACGGGAGGUAGCAGUAGGGAAUCUUCCGCAAUGGGCGAAAGCCUGACGGAGCAACGCCGCGUGAGUGAUGAAGGUCUUCGGAUUGUAAAACUCUGUUAUUAGGGAAGAACAAAUGUGUAAGUAACUAUGCACGUCUUGACGGUACCUAAUCAGAAAGCCACGGCUAACUACGUG
rnacentral:rRNA from 1 species